rnacentral:rRNA from 1 species
GACGAACGCUGGCGGCGUGCUUAACACAUGCAAGUCGAACGGUAAGGCCCUUCGGGGUACACGAGUGGCGAACGGGUGAGUAACACGUGGGUGAUCUGCCCUGCACUUCGGGAUAGGCCUGGGAAACUGGGUCUAAUACCGGAUAGGACUCCUGGAUGCAUGGUUGGGGGUGGAAAGCUUUUGCGGUGUGGGAUGGGCCCGCGGCCUAUCAGCUUGUUGGUGGGGUAAUGGCCUACCAAGGCGACGACGUGUAGCCGGCCUGAGAGGGUGACCGGUCACACUGGGACUGAGAGACGGCCCAGACUCCUACGGGAGGCAGCAGUGGGGAAUAUUGCACAAUGGGCGCAAGCCUGAUGCAGCGACGCCGCGUGAGGGAUGACGGCCUUCGGGUUGUAAACCUCUUUCAGCUAUGACGAAGCGCAAGUGACGGUAGUAGCAGAAGAAGGACCGGCCAACUACGUGCCAGCAGCCGCGGUAA